rnacentral:lncRNA from 1 species
CCUGGUUUACGAACAAUCGACAUCAAACUUAUCACACCUCGGUAUAUAUAUAAUAAUAUGAUCACUUUAAAUUUCUCACAAUGUGGUCAGAAGUAGUAACUCUGGACAAGUAAACAUUAAGGUCUUAUAAGGUCAAAAGUCUGGUAAAUAAAAUAUAUAGAAUUCACCGAGGCGUGACGAGUCUGUACCGAUACACAGUAGCUAUGAAACAGGUAAGAGAUAUUCUAUUUAUCCCGUUAUUUCUGAUAUGUAUAAUUAUAGAUAUCAAUUCAUCACAUCUGACAAAGAAAUCACACAAAAAUGCUUUUUAAUAAAGAAUAUUUUUUAUAAUGUAUAUAAAAGUAUUCUAUAUUAUGAUUUGUAUGAUGCUUUUCGCUAUUGGUGUGCAUGUACUGCUAACACAGGGAGGUCUGCCAUAAACUAUGCACGUAUUGAAAUUUUAGGGAUAUAUUAAUCAAAUGGAAAAAAAUAAACAAGAAUGUGAAUAUUUACACAUAUAAGUAAAAAAAAAAUGUUAUAAGUUGAACUACAUCAACAUGAUCAAUGAGACAUAUAGAGGAUAAUUUAUUCAUGAUGAAUAACCAUGCAGCUCAUCUUUUUCGUUUUAAAUGUACGUGUAUGUACGUCUCAUUGCAAAUCCCGAUUUGUUCCAUUUACAUAAAAUAUCGAUGACUUUACAUUUUUAAAGAUGCUAACGGAGAGUGGUUAGUAAGCGGUAAAUCGGAAAAUGACGGACGUAAGGCCAAUUUCCCCCCUUUUUUGCUUCACUCACAGGAUUGCUUUUAUGGAAUUGAAAUAUUAAAGAGGCUAAAUAUAAAACUUAAAAUAUUUUCAUUAAAUUUCCAUAAUUUAAAAUGUAUCAUUGAUGAACAUGUUUCUGUUGAAGGCAUGGCGUUUUUGGUGGGUUCGUCUUGCUCUUUUACUAAUUUUGAAUGUUGUAACAUGGACAUAAUUGUUGUUUGUCUUUUGUUAUUUUACUUUUUGACGUGGCUUUGAUUUUCGACAAUUUUGACACAUUAGAAAAACGGCCCUAGUGUGAAAUGAACUUAGGGGGAGGGUCGUUUGAUCAUGAAGGAUGUAUAAAUGCGAAGACACGUUUCUCCGGAAUAUAAAUAUUAAAUCUUAUGCUUUGUGUAGGAAGGAAGUCACGAUCUCUCUAUGUAAAAAAACCACGAGAAUUUCUAACAUUGUGCAUUUUUUUAAUUCAUUUCCAAUCCCAAGGAUUACUAGGGAUCAGAAAUAUAACAACAUUGUACAUGUCGGUUUAAUGAGUUUGGAGCAUCGAAUAUGCCACAUAGAAAGAACAUCAAGAAGUAUGUUAGACAACUCUGGUAACAUACAGUAAAAAGAAGAAAAAACAUUUACAAUUCAAUUCAUUUUGAGUCGAUCAAUCUAUUUCGUCCGCCAGGAUGACUGGAUAAUAGAAAUUUGUUCACUACAGGUCUUUCUUCAACCGACAGUGAAACCCUUGUCAAAGUGGGGCUUCCGUUUGGCUGUGCUAAAUGUAUAAGUACGCAUUUUGGUGGUCUGUUGCCAGGCUAUACUUCUCUUCCUAUCCAAAAUACCCUCAUUUUCCCGUUGUAGUCCAAUAUUCCCGACUUGCAACCAAGUUGGCCUCUAUUACCGGACCUACCUAUUAUAUUCAUAGCUACUUUGUUUAUGUCCUGAACAUGCAUGAAACAUUUGCCACUGGAAUACAAUAUCUACAAAAUUAGUUAAAGAUGUUACUUCAAGAACAUAACAAAUGGAAUGUUACAUUAUACUGAAGUAUAUCGAAUAUCAUGGUAAACAACGAGACCUUGUAUUAUGAAUCUACGAAAAGAAAUGGGUGAUUUUAUAUACGAGGUCGUUAAUUUCAAUCCCGAAAUACUGAUAAUUUUAAAUAUCUAAAUAUACAUAAUUUUAUGGAUUGCAACACAUAUAUGUACAUGUACUUGUUGAUAUUUGAUAGACGGGAACGUGAUUUAUCAUUUACUGUAUUAUAAGACCGCGCAGAUUUGAAAGAAAAAAACAGCGGUUGAUAAAGUUUGUAAAGGAUGAAGAAAAAAACAACAUUAAUGUCAUGUAGAUCAAAGUUACGUAGGUAGUGUAAGUUCAAUACUCAACUUUUGUAUUUAUGGAAUAUAUGGGUUAAAUUAUGAAAGUUUUGAUGUAAAUACUACCUGUAGAAAAGCAAAUAGCGCAUAUAUUUAUAGGUAAAAAUAGAAGUCCUUUUCUAGGACAUGGACUUUUAAUAAUAAUUACAGCUAUUAUAUAUAUAUAUAUACAAUAAUAGUGCAUUGACUUGACAUAUCAACGAUAUAAGAAUGAGGCUUAGAAACGGGGAAAUACGAGGCUCUGCCGAGCUUUUCCCCCGUUUCGGGCCGAAUCCUUAUAUCGUUGAUAUGUCAAGUCAAUGCACUAUUAUUGUCUUUAUACUGCAAUCAAAAAUAGUACAUUUUCAAUUGUUGUUUAGAGUGUAUGUAAUUAUUUGAUUUAAAUAUUGGGAAACUUCCCCCUUUUAUAAAAAGGCCUCAUAUUAUGCAGGCGGGGAAAUGAACAGCACAAUGAAAUAUACAUCUACCUCCAGUCGAUGAUGAACAAGUUUGUUUUGAGAAUGAACUAAAAUAUCAACAAUAAGCAUAAAACAUAAUGAUAUAUAGUUUGCAAACCAAAAAUAUUAACAAGUGAAAUAUGUUUUUUUUUCCCCUAAAAGUUGCAAAAAGAAAUAAGUUUAUGUCGUUGUAUACAUUGGAACCAAGAACAGGUUGAAUAGGUCGUAUGAAUAAUUAAUUAAUAAUUUCGUCAAUUUCGAUUUAAUAUAUUCAUGAGAAAAAGUGAUAGCAGGGUCGAGUUCAAUAUCGUAGCAGCUACGUAGCUGCUAACAAUAUUUAUGUUACAACUAGUCUAUAGCUACACGUUCAAUAGUCAAAAUCUACGUAGCACUACGUAGCUGCUACGAUAUUGAGCGCAGCCCAGGUCAGUGACUGUAUAUGACAUAGAAAUAUACAGUCAACGUAUUUUGACUGCUCAAAUAGAACGAGUGCAGUAUAAAUAGCAUUAUGUUGAGUGAGUUAACGGUUCUUGAAUACACAUAUCUACAGCGGAGUACACUUGGGCUGUCUUCUGCUCUUUAUCGGUUUUUUCUCUCUUUGAUACAUUCCCGUUUCCAUUCUUUUAUCAUUAUACAAAAGUCAGAAUCCUGUUUGAAAAUUCUCCCGAAAACAGUGUCCAGUUGUAGCGCCCCAAAGAAGAAUUCCUUCAUGUGAAGAGGUAUAUACACAUUACUAAAAAUGGUAAACAAUGUUACAAUACUUUUUUUCAUAAUAAGUAGGAAUUUGCCGAUCAUAUCACGUUUUUGCAGGUUGCUGUCAAUGUAUUAAAAUCAAAGCGUGUUUAUUACAAUGAACGGAGAUUUGAUAGAUGGUGAAAAUUUCUUUUGUAUUUCAGUCAAAUGGAAUUGAAAAUAAAGCUUUUGAAAGUGGUGUCGGGUGUAAUGAUGUCACGGUGGAGGUAAAAACAGAUAUGAACAAAAAGGUACAAAUAUAUACGAAUAAAAAUGCUAUGUAAAUGAAAAAAAAAUAUUUCAAAAAGUGAAAAAUCGAGAAAAUCGAAAUUUCAGAGACAAUAAAUAAUCAAAUUUCAAACUUAUGCACGUAGACGUUCGAACAAAGACAAAAAAAAAAGAAAAAAAAGGGGGGGGGCUCCUAUAAAAAAACAGAUUUUAAAAUUAAUCAUGAUGUUUUUCUCACAUUGAUGGUUGUCCUUCUAACUUAUAUAAUUAUCUUCACAAUACGUGUGAGUGUUAAACUGAUCUACAUUUUGGAUAAAGAACAUUAUUUCAAUAAUGGGAUACAUUGUAGUCAUCCUUCAAUGAUUGUUUUAUAAAAAGAUUUCAACAAAGACCAUGAUCAUCCUUACUUUAAAUUCCAUAACUUAUACAAUUGGGCAAUUACGAAAUGCGAUAGCAUAAAAAUUUGAAAAUCCGGGUGGGAAAGAACUUGUUUUUUAUGUUUAAUUUAAAUCAUGCAAGAUUUUAUUACUGGUUUCAUUACAGCUUCCAAGGUCAUGUAAAGUUUAAAAUGUUUUGAAAAAUAGUAUCAUUAAUAUAUCGGUGCUACAGUCCCGCACAGGUAACAACUGAGUGAAAAGUAAUAUCGAAGAUUCAUACAAUAAGAACUUUUAAUUGUCUCAAUAUGACCUGAUGCAAUGCGCGGGAUAUACAAGUACGUAACCACGUUUAAGGAUAAUUUUAAACUUAUACACACAAUUUGGAAACACUCUUUUAGGGGUUCGUAAAUGGCCAGCUGCAAUAUCUGAUCUGGUAUAUUGAGAGGUGACACUAGAACAUAUAGGUUGCACUUUGAAAACUUCAUAGUAAAAGUGGUACAGUUUUAGCCGUAAAAGGAGUUCCUAUGGGAAAUUGCAUUGUGAAUAUUUACAGAAAUGCAACCUAUAUAGGGCGAAAAAGGGGAACAUUCAGAAUUUAACCAAAUUUGCUUUAUUUCACAGAUUUUAAAGAAAUUAACUAAAAUAUGAAGUUUUAUAAAUAUUUAAUGAAGAUUGAUAGACUCCUGGGCCUUAAAUAUGAUGACUCAGCAUAAAUUCACAGUUUACAGUAUGCAUAGUGUACUUAAAAGUCGUGAAUACAAAAUUAAUUCAUAAUAUUUGCAUAUUUGUAAGUUUAAUUGUUAAGAAGUGCUUCUUAUAUUUACUCCUCGCAGUCAUUGAAACUCAUAGAUCCUUCCUGAAUAUUAUUUAUGGGGUGUUUGUGUCCUUUUAAUAACCCAAAAGUAACCCGCAACAACUAACUCUGCUUUUUUGUCACCACGGCAUAAUAAAUACAAGCUAGAAAAACAAAAAUAUCUCAAGAAAGCUAACAAUAGUGUGUUCUAUCCUUGAUAUGUACUUAAUAUUCCAAAUUGCUAGAAACAACAGAAUGAUUUAGGUAAUUUGAGGCCCCAGGGGCAAAAAACAAAGAAAAUUGCCUACCCCCUGGUUCAUAAAACAAAUAAUUUAACUUUUAAAUGCUAUGAUUUUAUGAUUUUAAAGCUCUUGAUAUAGAAAACAAUAACAUAGAAAACAAUAACUAUGCUUGGACAAAUCAGAUGUAAGCAGUCAUCUCUAUAACAUUUUAAGUGAAUUUAUAUCUCAGACUGGUAUCUGCAUACAUACAACUAUUGCAAAUAUGGCUUUGUUUGAACACUUCUAGUACAAAUAUUAGCUAAAUUGUGUCAGAUAUAUGGUAACAGAUGAUACGGUUGUGACAAGAAUUCUAAAUUGACCAUUUGAGGCAGAAAAUGUGUACUUUAAUUGACACAUAGGCAUACAGUAAGAUGUGACUGGUGACAGAGGCUGGAUUGAAUACUUUAUAUAAUCUUGAAUGUUGUAAUGAUUAACUGCUAAACAUUACAUUUAUAGUAUUCUGAUAUCAUUUCAAUAUGUUAUCAAAACAGUUUUAAACAGGUUCUAGGCAUUUUUUAUCAGGAAAUAUGCAAAUAGGGUUAGCUGGCAAAAAUUAAUUCAAAUUCUUUAAAAAAUUGAAACAGGGGAGGGGAUAAAAUGUACAGUAAAGAAAAACGUAGAGUAAACGCAGUGAUUUCUUUCAGGCUAUAAUUCUGAUAAAUGAGUAUUAAUGUGACAAAAAGUGAUUUUAGAGAGUUUUCUAUUUGAAAAAAUGUUUGUAUAGGUUGCACUUUGUAAAUACAGCUGUUUCUCAAAACACGCCUCUUUUGGGGAGAUCUUGAAUAUUCAUAGAAAAUUAAUUUUGUUUACAUACUGGUUCCCAGUUAUGCUCUAUGUGUUCCAUCUCACAGAGACAUAAUUUGGGAAUGUUACCAGUAAAUAUACAUGUGCAUAUUGUUUACAUUGAAAUCUGUGGUAACCUUUCAUUCGAGGUAGGGAUAGUUAAGAAAAUUAGUGUUAGUUUAAACUAUGAGAAGUUCAGGGCAUAUAAACGUUGAAAAUAUGCCGCACAGCCCUAUAUUGUGACCUUUGAAAAAAUUGUGGUGCAUAUGAACUUUCAAUUCUAGGAUAAGAUUUUUUAUAAAACUUCAAAAGUGGUACAGUUUUAGCCGUAAAAGGAGUUCCUAUGGGAAAUUGCAUUGUCAAUAUUUACAGAAAUGCAACCUAUAAUCUCCUCAUUCAUUAUAAUAAUGGAAUCAACCACAUUUAGGUAUCUUAUAGACCUCACUUUCAUUUCACAUGACAUUCUGUAAUCUUAAUGCUAAAAAAAGAAGCAUUGAUAUGAUUUUAUGUAAUGAAAAUGUUUAUCUGAUAUUGCAGAAUGGAAUUCCUUCACAUGACAAUGGGACGCUAUCAAGUUAUACCAGCAAAUCGGAA